AACGAACGCUGGCGGCAUGCCUAACACAUGCAAGUCGAACGAGACCUUCGGGUCUAGUUGCUCACGGGUGCGUAACGCGUGGGAACCUUCCCGUAGGUUCGGGAUAACUCCCCGACAGGGGGGCUAAUACCGGGUAAUUUCUUCUGACCAAAGAUUUAUCGCCUGUGGAUGGGCCGGAGUUGUAUUCGCUUGUUGGGAGUGUAAAAGCCGACGAAGGCUACGCUACAUAGCUGGUCUGAGAGGCUCAUCAGCCACACUGGGACGGAGAAACGGCCCAGACUAUUACAGGAGGCAGCAGAGGGGAAUCUUGCAAUACCGCGGAAAGCCUGAUCCAGCAAUGCUGCGUGAGCGAUGAAGUCCUGAGGGUUGUACAGCACUUUUAUACGCGACGAUAAUGACAGUACCGGGAGAAUAAGCUCCGGCUAACUCCGUG
rnacentral:rRNA from 1 species